UACGUAGGUGGCAAGCGUUAUCCGGGUUUAUUGGGUGUAAAGGGCGUGUAGGCGGGAAUGCAAGUCAGAUGUGAAAACUAUGGGCUCAACCCAUAGCCUGCAUUUGAAACUGUAUUUCUUGAGUGCUGGAGAGGCAAUCGGAAUUCCGUGUGUAGCGGUGAAAUGCAUAGAUAUACGGAGGAACACCAGUGGCGAAGGCGGAUUGCUGGACAGUAACUGACGCUGAGGCGCGAAAGCGUGGGGAGCAAACAGG
rnacentral:rRNA from 1 species